CGUUCUCCAGUCAACGUGUGCGCCGUUCGAGAUGGCUUGUGAACGCCAGCAGUACAUGCUGUGUGGUUUUACCCAGGAACUGGACUGGAGACCAUUGCAUUUUGUCGAUCCAAUUCCGGCGCACAGAAUAUGUGACGCGUGUGGUGUGCUGCCAAGGGUGACCGUUUUUCUGCCCUGUCGACACCUGCUGUGCAAAAGCUGCUACGAGCAGUGCCUACUCGACGACCGACACGCCUGCCCACUCGAAGGUGACCAGUUUCUUGAUGAAGACGCUGAGUGGAUACACUUUCCUUUGGAGAACCUCCUCAGGCGGAAGGUAAAAUGCUGGAAUGAAAAGCAUGGCUGCGACGUGGUCUUAGCUGCAUCAGAGCAAAUCAAACAUUUU
rnacentral:misc_RNA from 1 species